rnacentral:rRNA from 1 species
GCUGCAACCCGACUCCAUGAAGCUGGAUUCGCUAGUAAUCGCGCAUCAGCCACGGCGCGGUGAAUACGUUCCCGGGCCUUGUACACACCGCCCGUCAAGCCAUGGAAGCCGGGAGUGCCUGAAGUGUGCAACCGCAAGGAGCGCCCUAAGGUAAAACCGGUGACUGGGGCUAAGUCGUAACAAGGUAUC